ensembl:lincRNA
AUGAUCAUUGAUGACUGUGACGUCCUUUGUUUACUGAUGUGGCAGGAAAUGUUCCAUUUUUCACAGGUCAUAGAGGACUCACACUGCCUCCCAUCCUGGGAGCCAACAGAGGUUGUGCCUGAGCCACAGCCAUGGAGGCAGUCCCUCUGGACAAGAUGUAGCCUUGAGGAUGAGGGAGCUGGUGUGACCUCAGGAAACAAUAACCUGGAGGUGAGCUCCUUGGUGUUCCUAGGAGCAGAGGAAGGCUACCAGGAACCAAGUGCCUUGGCAAACGGUUCAAAACAAUUUGUGGAUUGGAAGCAAGCUCAACGACUGCAGAAAACAUUAAAGGACGUGACUUGUCAAUGUGGAGAAAGGGUUUUUAAAUGCACUUGGACGUGUUAUACAGCUGUUGUUAAAAGAUAUAGCUCACUGAAACGAAAAUCAAUGUCUUAUAGGCAUUAGCCAACAUUUAAUGAACUGUCUUUAAUAAACUCAUUUACCAGGCCAGUUAACUCAUUAACUUAGGAAUGCUUUUUUUCCAUUGAAUUAUUCAGGAAAUUCUACCAGAAAUUUCACUAAUUGCAUACUAUAGAUACUGAAGUUCUCAUAGAGGUUAUAAAGUCACUUGUAAAAAACCUACCUUAAAAUGUUUUAAGCUAAUUCAUUUUUUUCAUUAUGGUUUACUAUAGGAUAUUGAAUAUAGUUCCCUGUGCUAUACAGUAGGACCUGGUUGUCUGUCUAUUUUAUAUGCAGUACUUUGCAUGUGCGAAUCCCAAGCUCCCAAUCCAUCACUCUUCUCCCCUUCUUCCCCCUUGGCAACCUGAAGUCUGUCAUCUAUAUCUGUGAGUCUGUUUCUGUUUCAUAGACAGGUUCAUUUGUGUUAUAUUUUAGGUCCCACACAUAAGUGGUACCAUAUGGUGUUUGUCUUUCUCUUUCUGACUUACUUCACUUAGUAUGAUAAUCUCUGGGACCAUCCCUGUAGCUGCAAAUGGAAUUAUUUCAUUCAUUUUUCUUUUUUGUGACUGAGUAAUAAUACUCCAUUGUAUAUAUACUAAUAUAUUCCACAUCUUCUUUAUCCACUAACUAUCGUGGACAUUUAGAUUGCUUCCACAUCAUGGUUGUUGUAAAUAGUGAUGCUCUGAAGACAGGGAUGUAUAUAUCUUUUUGAUUUAUAGUUUUGUUUGGAUAUAUGCCCAGGAGUGGGAUUGCAGAAUCAUAUGGUGGCUCUAAUUUUAGUUUUUGAAGAAACUCCCUAUUGUUUUCCAUAGUCGCUGAACCAAUUUACAUUUCCACCAAUAAUGUAGAAGUGUUCUUUUCUGUCCACACCCUCUCCAGCAUUUAUUCAUAGACUUUUUAAUGAUGGCCAUUCUGACUGGUAUGAGGUGGCAACUCAUUGCAGUUUUGCUUGCGUUUCUCUACUAACUAGCAUUGUUGACCAUCUUUUCAUGUUAGGCUAAUUUUAAUUCCACUUCCGCAAUUUGCAAGGAAAUCCAAACAGUCCAUCCUAAAAGAGAUCGGUCCUGGGUGUUCAUUGAGGGACUGAUGUUGAAGCUGAAACUCUAAUACUUUGGCCACGAUGCGGAGAGCUGACUCAUUUGAGAAGACCCUGAGGCUGGGAGAGAUUGAGGGCAGGAGGAGAAGGGGACAGCAAAGGAUGAGAUGGUUGGAUGGCAUCACCGACACAAUGGACAUGGGUUUGGGUGGACUCUGGGAGUUGGUGAUGGACAGGGAGGCUGGCGUGCUGUGGUUCAUGGGGUUGCAAAGAGUCAGACACAACUGAGUGACUGAACUGAACUGAAUGUAGUUUAACCAAGGACUUACACAAAUACUUAAGCAGAUCCACACCCAUAUCUUUUAGGGUGCGGGAAGGGAUAUACAUGACACUUGUUGGCAUCCUUGUUGACACUUGUAUGCACAAAUGCAAAGCCAGCAAAUAGUCAAAUAAAACUCUUAAAUUUUCACAUAGAAUGGCAACUGUUCCAGUCAAAAGGCAUCUACUGGAGAUGGAAAUAGAAAAUCACCAUUAUUAUCCGUAUUAUAAUAUUCAUAGGUAUGACUAUAAUGAUCUCAAUGUUUGAAAGCCAACCACUUUGCUUAUUUUAAAGGAGACUGACAACUUAAAAAGUUGUCUAUUUUAAUUAAUUUACAAAAACCCACCAUUGUGACAUAGGUCAGUGUUUGAGUUAUUUGUAAAGUUUUUUUUCCUAAAUAGCAAAAAAAAAAAAAAAAGCUUAAUUGUACACUCGAAUAAGCGCAAAAUCUGAGUUAGUACUAUUCAAAUUAAUAAAUCAGACUGACUAUGUUCUUUGCAGUCAAAGAUGGAGAAACUCUAUACAGUCAGCAAAAACAAGACCGGGAGCUGACUGUGGCUCAGAUCAUGAACUCCUUAUUGCCAAAUUCAGACUUAAAUUGAAGAAAGUGGGGAAAACCACUAGGCCAACAGGUAUGACCUAAAUUAAAUCCCUUAUGAUUAUACAGUGGAAGUGAGAAAUAGAUUUGAGGGACUAGAUCUGAUAGAGUGCCUGAAGAACUAUGGAUGAAGGCUUGUGACAUUGUACAGGAGACAGAGAUCAAGACCAUCCCCAAGAAAGAGAAAUGCAAAAGAGCAAAAUGGCUGUCUGAGGAGGCCUUACAAAUAGCUGUGAAAAGAAGAGCAGGGAAAAGCAAAGGAGAAAAGGAAAGAUAUUCGCAUUUGAAUGCAGAGUUCCAAAGAAUAGCAAGGAGAGAAAAGAAAGCCUACCUCAGUUUUCAGUGCAAACAAAUAGAGGAAAACAAUAGAAUAAGAAAGACUAGAGAUCUCUUCAAGAAAAUUAGAAAUACCAAGGGAACAUUUCAUGCAAGUUCAGUUCAGUUCAGUCACUCAGUUGUGUCUGACUCUUUGCGAUCCCAUGAACCGCAGCAUGCCAGGCCUCCCUGUCCAUCACCAACUCCCAGAGUCCACCCAAACCCAUGUCCAUUGUGUCGGUGAUGCCAUCCAACCAUCUCAUCCUCUGUUGACCCCUUCUCCUCCUGCCCUCAAUCUCUCCCAGCCUCAGGGGCUUCUCAAAUGAGUCAGCUCUCUGCAUCGUGGCCAAAGUAUUGCAGUUUCAGCUUCAAUAUCAGUCCCUCCAAUGAACACCCAGGACCGAUCUCCUUUAGGAUGGACUGGUUGGAUCUCCUUGCAGUCCAAGGGACUCUCAAGAGUCUUCUUCAACACCACAGUUCAAAAGCAUCAAUUCUUCGGUGCUCAGCUUUCUUUAUAGUCCAACUCUCAUGUUCAUACAUGACCACUGAAAAACCAUAGCCUUGACUAGACGGACUUUUGUUGACAAAGUAAUGUCUCUGCUUUUCAAUAUGCUGUCUAGGUUGGUCAUAACUUUCCUUCCAAGGAGU